CUACGGGACGCUGCAGUGAGGAAUAUUGCACAAUGGGGGAAACCCUGAUCCAGCAAUGCCGCGUGUGUGAAGAAGGCCUGCGGGUUGUAAAGCACUUUCGGUUGGGAGGACUGCUUCUAGCACUAAUAUUGUUGGAAGUUGACGUUACCUUCAGAAGAAGCACCGGCUAACUCCGUGCCAGCAGCCGCGGUAAUACGGAGGGUGCAAGCGUUAAUCGGAAUUACUGGGCGUAAAGCGCGCGUAGGUGGCUAGAUCAGUCGGGUGUGAAAGCCCCGGGCUUAACCUGGGAACUGCAUCCGAUACUGUCUAGCUUGAGUACAGGAUAGGAGAGUGGAAUUCCACAUGUAGCGAUGAAAUGCGUAGAUAUGUGGAGGAACACCAAUGGCGAAGGCAGCUCUCUGGCCUGAUACUGACGCUGAGGUGCGAAAGCGUGGGGAGUAAACAGGAUUAGAUACCCGGGUAGUC
rnacentral:rRNA from 1 species